AGUGAACGCUGGCGGUAGGCCUAACACAUGCAAGUCGAACGGCAGCACAGUAAGAGCUUGCUCUUACGGGUGGCGAGUGGCGGACGGGUGAGGAAUACAUCGGAAUCUACUUUUUCGUGGGGGAUAACGUAGGGAAACUUACGCUAAUACCGCAUACGACCUACGGGUGAAAGCAGGGGAUCUUCGGACCUUGCGCGAUUGAAUGAGCCGAUGUCGGAUUAGCUAGUUGGCGGGGUAAAGGCCCACCAAGGCGACGAUCCGUAGCUGGUCUGAGAGGAUGAUCGGCACAAGUGGAAUGGGAACACGGUCCGAACCACUCAGGGAGGAAGAAGUGGGGAAUAUUGGACAAUGGGCGCAGGGUUGAUGGCGAAAUAAGGGGUGGGUGAAGAAGGCCUACGGGUUGUAAACCCCUUUUGGUGGGAAAGAAAAGCAGCAGGUGAAGACCCCGCUGUUCGGACGGUACCCAAAGAAAAAGCAACGGCUAACUUCGUG
rnacentral:rRNA from 1 species